CCUGGUGGCAAUGGCGGAGGGGAAACACCCGUUCCCAUACCGAACACGGCAGUUAAGCCCUCCAGCGCCGAUGGUACUGCGGAAACGUGGGAGAGUAGGUCGCUGCCAGGA
rnacentral:rRNA from 1 species